rnacentral:rRNA from 1 species
UACAUGGGGUGGACAACUGUGCUGACUGGAAUUGUGGCGUAAAGCGCACGUAGGCGGUUUGUUAAGUCGGAUGUGAAAUCCCUCGGCUCAACUGAGGAAGUGCAUCCGAAACUGGCAGGCUUGAGUACUAAAGAGGGUCGCGGAAUUCCCGGUGUAGAGGUGAAAUUCGUAGAUAUCGGGAGGAACACCGGUGGCGAAGGCGGCGACCUGGGUAGAUACUGACGCUGAGGUGCGAAAGCGUGGGGAGCAAACAGGG